rnacentral:lncRNA from 1 species
CUGUUUGUGGGUUUUCAUUGGUUUAAUGAAUGCUUUUCCAAGAUUUUGACCAGAAGAUAACUUCCCGUCGGACAGUUUUAAAGAAGCAAAAUAUAUGAUGUUACAUUUGAAACUAUUCUAAAGACCACAUGUACAAGGUAGAUAUUUACUCUUCAUAUUUCUCGAGAUCAUUAUAAUAGUUUUAUGAAUAAGAAUAAGAAUUGUGUUAGUUUAAAAUCUAAACUAUGAUAUUGUUCUUACGACAAUAAACAAUACAUGCAGCAUUGGAAAAAAGAAAACGUUAAUAUUUACUACAAUUAUUUUUGACAACAUACCUCCUCCAGUGGCGUAUCCAGGGGAAUGGUCCUGGGGAUUGGGACCCACUUUUUGGAACGAUCAAUGUCGUUGUAGCUCUUCCGGUAAAAUAUUUUUAAAAAAGCCAAUAGCCUACAUGUAUAUUAAAGAAACACUUGUAUACUUUUAUUACUCUGAGCCAAUGCAGUCAACUUAACUUUGUUGUAACAAGUAUAUCGCUAUUUUUAAAGUGGCACCAACUGAACAAUAUGUAUUCAUUUAUAAAGAUAGCAUACCUCUUCCCGAAAUAGAAGAACCCCCCCCCCAAAAAAAAAAAAAAAAAACAACAACAAAAAAAACAACAGAGAGGAGGUGAUGAAAUAAGAGCAAAGGUUACAUUAAUUGCCAAAGAGUGCCUUAAAUUUUAUUAUAUUAUCAAUAUUUGCCUAUUCUGAGCCCCCAUUUUGAAAAUCCUGUAUCCUGGUUACCAACUAUCUCCCACAGUGGUUCAUACUAGAUUUACCUGCCCUAAACCCUCAUUUUCUCUAAUUGCUUGACAAGUUUCUAGAUUUUAAGACUUUUUUCAAUUUAUUUGAUCGUCCUGAAUAUAUAUGUAGUAUUAACAACAACAUUAACGGUACCAAUUUUCUGCACCAGAUGCACAGUUCGGCAAAUUAAUGAUUCUUCAGUGAGGCUCGUGGCCAAAAUAUUUAAAAUUCAAAGGUUAUAUUAAAGAUGAAGAACUAUAAUCCAAAAGGUCCAAAAAGUAUGGCCAAAUCCGUGAAAGGAAUCAGAGCUUUGCAUGAGGGAGAUAGUUCCUCAAUUUAUAAUUUCUAACAUUUUGUAACAGCAAAUUUUAAUAACACAAAAAAUCCGCAGUUUCAUGUCAGUACCGAUGUACUGGCUACUGGGCUAGUGAUACCCUCGGGGACUAACAGUCCAUCAGCAGAGGCAUCGACCCAGUGGUAGUAAUAUCAUUAAAGGUACCAAUUUUCCUGCACCAGAUGCUUAUGUCUCUUCAUUGAUGCUUGUGGCCAACAUAUUUGCAAUCCAAAGCUUAUAUAAAAGAUGAAGAGCUAUAAUCCAAAAAGGUCCAAAAAGCAAGUGUCUGACGUGACAGAAAGUCAAGCAAAAAAUAAUCAAUUAAUAUGAUACUGGUCAUUAAUGAAUUCAUAUCGAGUGUUCUUUUGACAGAGAUCAUGGUCAAAGCUACCAGUAGAUGCUAUCUAUUCGAAGUUUUAGAGCAAAUUUCCUAAUGCUUGUAGAGUAAGACUUUGGUUAUCUUGCUUGCUUUGUUUUUAUAUUGUACACUUGUAUAUGAGAUGAUGUCCAAUUAGAUAUAUAUAUAUGAUAUAUAAAGGUCUAACUAUGCCUAUCUAUAUUGUUUGCAGAUGUCAAUCUUAAUUACAACUAGAACACACCCGUGAUAUCGCGGGUUCGUGACUGAUAUAUAACUUUGCGUAUGCCUUAUUUUGGUAUUGGUAUUGUCAUCUGAUAAAGUCAUGCCGAUUAUAACAUGUAUAAGGUGCACAGUUUUCUCUGCUUUCAAAAUCUUUCUGUUUGAACACGUCUACCUGGAACCUAUCAAUUAUUGGUAAUAUUAAUAAUUUGGAAAACAAAAGGGCCUGGAAUGGAGUAUUUUUUACUCAACAGUAUACAGCAAAAUUCUAAAUACACUGUUUGGAGGUGCGCCUAUCAGAUGCGGAACGUACAGAUAAGGUAAUAGGUAACAGGUGAAUAUACUAUUGAUAUCGGUGUCGGACUCGAUCCGGAACUUCUUAAUUAUUGGCAAUAUUAAUUACGUGGAAAACAAAUGGGCCUAGAGUGGUGUAAUUUUUAAUCAACACCAUUGUACUAUAUUAGUUAUAUAUAAAGUUGAAUUCUUUGAUUCAUCGUUUUUACGUGAUGACGGCUGGCAAAUUGGACCUCGUAAUUUUAGUAUUAUAGAUACUUAAGUAAUCCUUUAUACAAACAAAGCAACUAAACUUAAUCAAAGUCUUACUCGACAAGCAUUAGGAAAUUAGCUUUAACGUCCCCGCGCAUUCACUUAUUCUAAGUUCUUGUUUUUUCUUACGAUACUGUAUACAUGUAUAUAUUUUGACCAUUAGCACACAUUAUUUUUUCAUAUAGACUGCAAUAGCUCUUAAAGUAAAUUUACUAAAAUUUAAGCAGAUUCUAAUAGUUUACUUUUACAAAUUGUGACUUGGAUGGAGAGCUGUCUCAUUGGCACUCAUACCACAUCUUUUUAUAUCUAUCUAGAUUUCUUUUCUUUCGAUUUGAGACCCAAAUUAUACCAACGCACAUAUACGGUACAUUACUGAGUCAGAUUUUUCCUGUCAUUUGAAAAUAUUAUUUCGAAAAGGAGCUCCAUACCCUAUUAGUAUUUAUAGCUUAUUUUGUUUUUAAACUUAUCCCUUAUUUCUUGAAGUAAUUUUAAAUAUGUUUAGAUAUUAUAAAUAUAUAUUAAAGUCUGAAGAUAUCCUUCUCUCUGAAGCCCUGAAUGUCUCUAGAUCACUAAAUAGUUUAAACAAAAAUAGUUGGUAUAGUUGUAUUGCUAUUCUUAUGAAAUAUCUUGAUAUAGAUCUUAAACUUGUUAAAAAUUCAAAGAUGGAUUUAAAAUCACUAAUUUACCGGAAAUUAAAACAGAAAUAUUCUUGUAUCUGGAAAUCUGAACUUUACAAUGAUAGACAAAAUAAACAGCAUGGAAAUUAACUAAGAACUUACAGAUUAUUUAAAGAAAAUAUUUAUAUGGAAAAGUACUUAUUAAUUUUAAAUGAGGAUGAAAGGCGACUGCUCACUAAGUUCAGAGUCAGUGCACAUAAAUUAGAAAUUGAAAUAGGCAGAUAUGUGGGGCUUCGAGUGGAGGAUAGAAUAUGUAAAUUAUGUAACACUGAAGUUGAAGAUGAAAUUCAUUUUCUUCUUCAGUGUCCUGUUUUAGAAAAUAAAAGAUCUGAAUAUAUAGAUUACUUAAAUAAGGUUAACAAAAACUUUAAAAGCCUCCCAAAUAAAUCAAAAUUAAUAUGGUUAAUGUCAUCUGAGGAUAAUGUUAUAAUUAAAAAAGUAAGUUUAUUACUGUGUACUUUAUUCAAAGAGAGAAAAUUAAUUCUAGAUACAGUUUAGUCACCGGUAGUUUGUCCAUCUAUAUUAUAUUGCAAAACUAUAUAUAUAUAUAUAUCUUUUCUGCAGAAUUUAUUUAGUUGAAAAAGACUUGACUUUGUUUAAUUGUUAAAUAAUCAAUGUAAUCAAUAUGUAAUCACUUGUAUGAAAUUGAACUUAAUUGUAUUGCUCAAAUUAUUGGGCGUCAUAAUUGACAAUAAAAAACUUUGUAUUGUAUUGUAUUGUAUGCUCUUCUGAUUCAUAGUAUAAAAAAAAAAAGAUGUGGUAUGAUUGCCAAUGAAACAACUGCCCACAAGAGACCAAAAUGACACAGAAAUUAACAACAAUAGGUCACCGUACGGCAUUCAACAAUGAACAAAACCCAUACCGCAUAGUCAGCUAUAAAAGACCUCGAAAUGAUAAUACAAAACUAUUCAAACGAAAGAACUGACGGUAUAAUUUAUGUACAAAAAAAAUGAACGAAAAACAAAUAUGUAACACAUGAACAAUUCAAACCAUAAACAAUGAAUUGCAGGCUCCUGCUGACUUGGGACAGGCACAUACAUACAUAAGGUGGCGAGGGUAGACAUGUUAGCGGAAUCCCAACCCUCCCCUAACCUAUAGUAUCAAUUUUGAAUUGUAUUUCAUUUCAAGUUCACCUAAGUACAUCCUUAAGCUUCGAUAGAAAAAAAAUACUACAGCUCAUGUCUUUAUGUCAGUAUUCUUUUUUCAGCUACAGACCAAAAGGACAGGAACAAAGACAAGGAAAACAGCAUUCUAGAAUCUAAAACAGACGAAAAUUGGUUAAUAUCAAGGAUUUGUAUAAUCUCACAAGACAGACG